rnacentral:rRNA from 1 species
CUACGGGUUGCUGCAGUGGGGAAUAUUGCGCAAUGGGCGAAAGCCUGACGCAGCAACGCCGCGUGAGUGAUGAAGGCCUUCGGGUCGUAAAGCUCUGUCGGGAGGGAAGAACACCUUCGGGUCUGACGGUACCUCCCGAGGAAGCACAGGCUAACUCCGUGCCAGCAGCCGCGGUAAUACGGAGUGUGCAAGCGUUGUUCGGAAUUACUGGGCGUAAAGCGCGCGUAGGCGGCUUGAUAAGUCAGAUGUGAAAUCCCUCGGCUUAACCGAGGAACUGCAUUUGAAACUGUCAGGCUUGAGUACGGGAGGGGGAAGCGGAAUUCCCAGUGUAGAGGUGAAAUUCGUAGAUAUUGGGAGGAACACCAGCGGCGAAGGCGGCUUCCUGGACCGAUACUGACGCUGAGGCGCGAAAGCGUGGGGAGCAAACAGGAUUAGAUACCCGAGUAGUC